rnacentral:rRNA from 1 species
ACUCGUCUCAAGUACCAUGAGGGAAAGAUGAAAAGGACUUUGAAAAGAGAGUUAAAAGUGCCUGAACUCGCUGAAAGGAAAGCGGAUGGAACCAGUCGUGCUUGGCGAGAUUGUUGCGUGCAAAGGUGACUGCUCACUGCUCGUAGCGUAAGCGCAGCAGCGGGUUUCGAUCUGGUCGCGCGCGAUGCUUCUUGCCUUGUUCGUCAUCGUUGGUUUGGAGGCGCGGACAACUCUUGGGACAUGGUAACUCGCCCACGGGCGAGCGAAUGUGCCUUGCAGAACUCACCUCCAAACUGAUGUCUCUUGUUAGGUUCUGUUGUCGUACGCGGCACGUUCUUGACAAAGCGUGGUGACAGAAUGGUUCUAUUCGACCCGUCUUGAAACACGGACCAAGGAGUCUAACAUAUGUGCAAGUGUGUGGGAUUUAAACCUAUACGCGUAAUGAAAGUAAAUAUUGCCAUGGCGUAUGCUUGCCGCAAUAACCGACCAUGAUCUUCGGUGACUGGUUUGAGU